GCCUCUGAUACUGAACGUUGUGGGUUAUUUCAGCAUGCAUAAUUAAUAGGUGGAUACGAUUUAUUUAACAAAGGAAAUGAACAAGCUUUUUAUCUGCAGAAAUAAUAACUAUAUAUGGUUGGUGAAAGCUAUCAACCAAAAGAAAAUAAAGAAUAACAUACUUAGUAAAGCAAAUGCUGAACGAACCAGAAGUGAGAAAGAGAUAUCCAUUGAUGAGAUGUUUGAUUAAUCACUGACAUCCAGUAAUAUUUUCUUAAGAAUGCAAGGAUUAUGAUCCUUCAUUUUCUGAUCUACGUACCAAACAAGUGAACAUUAAAGAAGUGAAAUUUGUAGAAAAAACUGAAGAAUUGUACAACUUUAGUUUUUAACAUAAAAGAAAACCAAAUAAUAACCGCCAACGAAGAAUGUCAGAAAUCAUUCAUUUUUCCUUCAACGUGUAAAGCAAAAUGCAAUAAGUCCACUGAUAUGAUUGCAGAAACAAAAUGAGGGCAAUGGCUAGAGGAGCUCCCUUCAGUCCAAGCACAGAAAAAGAAGGAUGGGAACUAUCUCCCGCAUCAUUCACUCAAUCACAGUAGCGUAAAACUUUUCGUGUCUACUGAGUGAUUAAAUGAAUGAGUCGGCAGCUAAUUCAACCCCUCAUCUCAUCCAUGAGUGGACAGAAGGAAGCUCUCUUAGACCAUCUCCCCAUGUAAUAUUUCAACAUAAUUUAUCUAUUAAGCCAAAUUGUAUGAUACCCAGAGAAAAAGGAACGGGUGAAAAUAUUAUUAAAGUUGCAAAAUAGUUCAACUGAAAUUUAACCUUUUCAUUUCAUGUUAGCUCAUUAUUUGACAAAGACGAUAACAAAUGAAAAUUAAAACAGCUAAACUUUGAGUCAAUUUAAAGACAAG
rnacentral:lncRNA from 1 species